GAUCCUGGCUCAGGAUGAACGCUGGCGGCGUGCUUAACACAUGCAAGUCGAACGGGAAACAUUUUAUUGAAGCUUCGGCAUAUUUAGCUUGUUUCUAGUGGCGGACGGGUUAGUAACGCGUGGGUAACCUGCCUUAUACUGGGGGAUAACAGCCAGAAAUGACUGCUAAUACCGCAUAAGCGCACAGAACCGCAUGGUUUGGUGUGAAAAACUCCGGUGGUAUAAGAUGGACCCGCGUUGGAUUAG
rnacentral:rRNA from 1 species